UACGUAGGGCGCAAGCGUUGUUCGGAAUUACUGGGCGUAAAGCGUGUGUAGGCGGCUUGGUAAGUCGGAUGUGAAAGUCCUGGGCUUAACCCAGGAAGUGCAUCCGAUAUUGUCAAGCUUGAGUCCUGGAGAGGGGUGUGGAAUUCCCGGUGUAGAGGUGGAAUUCGUAGAUAUCGGGAGGAGCACCAGUGGCGAAGGCGACACCCUGGACGGAGACUGACGCUGAGACA
rnacentral:rRNA from 1 species